UUCCGAUACUUCUUUCCGGCUAAUAUCAUAUAUUCAUUGAUUUUUGGAUUUCUAUUCUUCCAUUAUUUGUAUAUCUUACUUCUGAAAUUACAGCAUUAUGACUUUGCAACCAUGAUCGUUUGGUCAUCUAAGCAAUUCUUAAGGUGGGCCCAUCAUGUAAUAGGCCAUGCCCCUAUAUAUGCUCCAUCAGAUGAUCCUAGCCAUCUGAUGGGUGACUUUUGAGAUUGUGCAAUUGCAAACAAGAGGCUGGAUCUAAUUCAAAGCUUCCAAUGGUACAAAGCCUGUUUGUUUGGCCGAUUUUCAUAGUAAUGUAAUAUAAACAAGUUAUUAUUAUUAUUUCAUAAUAUUUAUUUAAACAAGUAUUAUAGUACAUAGUUUAAGGGCCAUAUAUAGAUAGGAUACUUAAAACAGAAUUUGUAAUUAUUACAAUUUUAUAUUGUAAAAUAUUCAUCUUUACAAUUUACCUUGGUAAAAUAAAUAAUCUAAAAUAUGUCAUCAUUGUAGUCAAAUAUCAAAUACUAUUUUGAAUAAGUUCAUCAAUUUAUAAUUAUUAUCUAUUUUCUUUACUUUAUUGAGGCAAUUAGUGAAACAAACAUGUGUCUAAAUACAUUUAAAAGCUCAUAAGUGUGUUUAAAUACAUGUAAGUGAGCUUUUGUUUAUCCAAGUGCAGUAUACUUGGAUGCACUUAGACUCACUUAUACGUGUACAAAGCUUUGUAUUGGAUCCGGGCUCUUCAAUAUGCAUUGUUUGAUGGAGCAAUUUCCUUUUGGCCUAAAGGAAUAGUUUGUACGGGGCCCAUCUUUUGGUGAUUGGAACUGUCCACAAGGUAAAUAGGAGGUACUCUGAAAACUUUCCUUUGUGUAUCAUCAGAACUAUCCAAUUGGCCCACAUCAAGUGGAAACCAUUUUCCUCUAAUGAAAUUGUUCAUCUUUCUAGAUAAUUUUUUAAAGCGUUUUGAAUCUCAAGUGAAUUUGAUUGAUUGCUUUUCUAAAUAUUAUAUAAUUAAUGUGGCCCUAAACACCUAGCUUUAGACCUAAUUAGAGAUUGUCAUGAAAUAGAAUCUCUCUAAAAAUACUACCAAAAGACGAAAAUACCAUAAAAAAGGUACAAAUGAUCAUAAAUUUCUUCCAAGUGGUAAACAUGGUACCAACUCAAUUUAAUGAGGAAGGGCAUUUUGUGAUAAGAUAGUGUAAAUUGCAAUCUAAUUUGAAAGCUAACAAGAAGGUCAUUUUGGGAAUAAGAGUAAAAGCUUACAAUCUAGUAUUAAUGGCACUUUAGGAAACUUUCUAUUGGUAGGGACCGCAUGGCUGUAAAUAUGCAAUAUGAGGAAGGGUCAUAAACAAGGAUAAAAGCUGCAAUCUAAUACAUGGGAGCAUUUUGAGAAACAAAUGGUGUAAACUUUCAAGCUAAUGGAUGAAGGUAUUUUGAGAAUGAUUGGCAGAAAUUCAAUCUAAUGAGAGGGUUAGUUUAGGAAUUAAUGAACAAUAGAAAACCAUAAAUAUGGUAACAACCUGCAACCUACUACCUACUGGAAGAGGGAAUGAGACAUCCUAAAUGGUGUGGGAUUUUAACCCAAAAAAAAAAAAAACACUAUUGGAAUAGGGCAUUUUGGUAGUUGAUGAACCUACAACUUUUGAUAAAGCAAUAGAUUUGUCAGAAUUGAAAAUUUCUAUAACCACAAAGUGGUGUCAAUGACCCAUGAAUCAAUCGAUCACUAGGGAUUGAAUUCAAUCACAACCAAAGAAGGAUUACUCAACUCUUUCUUCUACUGAAGAUUUACAGAAAGUAAUAUAUUUUUUGUAACUAAAAAAAGAAAUGGAUUCUCUUCUAAUUGACAAAUAGGUUCUUAUAAGGGCGAAUUAUACAAACCCUUCAUAAAUAACUACAAAUUGGUUCUAACAACCAUGAGUUUCAAUGUAUUACUACAUACUUCUAAAAAAAUCAAACAAACUUCUGAAAUUAUGCCAAAGGACAUUUACAAGACAUACUUCAAUUUCAAAUUCUUUCCCCUUUCUUACACAUACAACAUGGUCCCAAAGCCAAUCAUCAUGAAUGUGUUUGGGCCGAAAAUAAUAGACUAGAUUCCUAAGCUUCGACCUGAUUCAUUGGCUGGGCUUUCCACUUAAAUUGGGCCAAUAAAAUGUGCAUCAUAUGUACACUGAUGAAGAAUAACCCACUUCUUCAUCACAAACCGAUUGGCUGAAAUUCGAUUAUUGAUCACCAACAGCGAAGUUUAAUUAUCUAUUGUCAUGCAACAU